rnacentral:lncRNA from 1 species
ACAUGAAAUAAGUAAAUACAUCUUUAAGGAAGAAAAGAAGCUUCUGUGAUGAGGGUGAAAGCUACACUCAUCAGGCUGGGUGACCCUAGCUAGCCAUGGAGUGUGGGAUGGCUGCUGGGGAGUACUUUUAGCGCUGCUAGACUCCCCAGAGAAAAAGGAAGCAGGGAAUUUAAUAACUGUACAGGUGGAUCUUACUUUUUAAAAGCAAAAUCUAAUAAUUACUUUAUAUUUUAACUGAAGAAUAACAUUUUAAAAAACUUUGCCUUGGUUCUUUGUGAAUUUCAUGUCAGGUACCCCAACCCGACUCAUUUCUCCCUCCUCUCCUACUUGCCCUCCACCCUUGCAACCUCCUCCCCAAUAGGGGAAAAAUUUUGUUGUGGAAGCUGUAGUGUGUCAUGGUAUGUCCCACAGGAUACCCCUUUUCUACUCUUCCCUGCUUGCAGAUGUUCAUUGCAAUGACUUGUUUUGAUCUGAUAUGGGGCCUCUGGCUUCUGCUACUCUAGUGAUACUGGAAUCUCACUGGGACUCCUCUGUUGUUGCCCUGUGUCAGAUCUUUGGAUCUAAAGGCCCAGCCCCUUCAUGCACUCCAGCAGUUCAUGGAUGGUGUAGAUGUCUGGGUGGGCCAAUUCAAAGCCCUGGAUCUGGGCCUGAGAGGUAUGUGGCUCUCCCACUCUCCCGCCCUCAGGCUCAGCUCACUAGCAACAACACCCACCCCACCCUCAGCCAGGGCCAGCUCUACUCUGCUACCCAGGUGACGUGCAGGGCCAAUUUUCCCACUCUCACACCUCCAGCUCCAGCUCUUCUGCCUGCCGUAUAUGGCAAGGGACUAGGGAGGCGAAGAGGGUGCUUCUCCCUUGUCUAUGCUGCUGCCCAGCAGACAAGACGCAGGGCUGGCUCUCCCAUAAUCCCCACAUCCAGGGCCAGCUCUACUGUGGUGCCCAGGUGAGGUGUAGGACUUACUUCAUGAGUGCUGGGCCAGGGCCGGAUCUCCUGCUCUGAUGACCUUAGUUCUCCUGCCUGCCAUUGGUGGCAAGGGACAUGUGGCGGUGAUCUCUCCCUCCUUGUACAGAAGACAAGUGAUUGGGCCAGCUCUCACCCAGGCUCAAGCCCUCAGGACUGGCUCUCACAUCCCACCCUCCCACACCCACCCUGCCCCACCCCACCACCAUGUGCCCUACUGUGCUGCCCAGGCAAGGUACGGGCCACUCUUCUGAGUGCUGCAGCUGGUGAGGGGCAGGGCCAGCUCUUCUGUGAUGUCUAGGUGAGGGGGUGUGGCCAUUUCUGCAUGAUCAGACAUCAACAUGUCCUUAGCCAGCAGCCCAGACCAGGGAUGUCCCUCUGACUUUUGGUGGUGACAAACCUUUGCUGCUUCAGGGACAUAGGCCCAUAUAUGACCCUGGUGGCAGCACAGGGCAGGACCCAACCGAGGUUGGUCCCAGGUGGCAUCACAUCAUGCUGCUCCUCACUACCCUUAACUCUUCAGUUCUACCUUCAUUGUACCCAUCCUUUUGUUUCUCUUUCUCUUCUCUGUCUCCACCACCUGCUCUUCUUAGAGGUGCCCAGGGUCUCUGACUAUAUAGGGUCUUCUCAGGAGUAGUUUCAGGAGUGCUAUUUCCUGCUCACAUAUUAUGGUGCAGGUCAGGGGUCAUCUCUGGCAUGGUCUGUGUGUUGUUGUCCUCCUGUCUGCCGCCGCCCCCCCAACUCCCCACUUGACUGGUGGUUGACUCAUGCUAGCUUUCUGUCCAGACCCCAUGGCACUGGUCUAGUGGCCAUUUCAUGUGCCCUUCCCCCAGCCUGAGUAGGCUAAACAGACCUUGAGUGCUUGCCACAAUGGUUUCACAACCUAGGUGGAGUUGCAGCAUUUGCAGCUUCCUACAGGACCUUUGAGGAACUGACCGCCUGCUGAGCUUGCUUUGCCACUCAAUCCAGCUGAAGCAUAGGAUGGGCCUGUGGGUUCUCCCUAUAUAAACACAGUGCCGAAUAUGAAACCUUGAGCCUUGAUCAGAAACUUUGUCUUGGCUUCAUCCUUCAGGUCCUUUUUACAAAAAGCUUCAAAGCAACAGGUCAUUUUUCAUUUCCGGCCCCCUUUUCAGGUAACCCAGUUAAUCCAUAGCCACUGGAUGGCCACAAUUUUGGGCACUCCUUGCCUGCCCUGCCUGGGUAGCUCCACUUGAAGGACUCCAUGCAAAAGUUGUCUGCUUAGGGUUCACUCCUGCCUGGGGGCCCUCAGUCCCAGGCGGAGUUCUAGUCUCCCACUUGCUCCUGGUUAGGAAGCCUAUGCAGCAUAGUACUGGGCUGGUGGUUGUCUCAAAUUCGCUUUUUCCAGGGACUGUUAGACUUCUAUCAUUCAGAUGUUCAUAGGUCAGAACACUUAGUAUAGACAUAACCUCUCUCCUCUCUGCUUCUCCUACUGAUGCACAUGUGACACAGCAGCCACACCUGCAACAUUUCUAAGGGGAAGGAGGGAAGAGUAACAUUUUUACCAUUUUUUUUCUUUUGUAAUUUUAACUUUCUGAGUGAUGUGAAUAUAGUCUGAGAAAUUUAUCAGUAGAUAAUUUUGUCAUUUUGCAAUGAGUGCUUUUGCACAAACUAAAAAGGUUAUGGUCUUAUUAGUCAAUAUAAUUUAUAGGACUACUUUCAUAUAUGGUCUCUGCUAUUGACUGAAACAUUCAGUAUGUUACUGAGUACAGUUACCAUGGAGGAUUGAUUCUAAAUCCCCACUGAUACCAAGAUCUCAAUAUAAAAUUGGUGUGUGUGUGUGUGUGUGUGUGUGUGUGUGUGUGUAUACACAUGCACACCAGAAGAAGACAUCAGAUCCCAACUGAACCUAGGUCCUCUGCAAGAGCAGUAAGUGCUCUUAACCACUGAGUCCUAUCGCCUACUCUUAGGCAUCUACUUUCUAUCAUUUGCUUGUGUGAGAACUUGUUGUAUAAAUAGAACCAUACAACAUUUAGUCUUUUGUGACUUAGCACAGUGGUUUCAAUAUUUGCUCAGUUUGUAGCAGUAUUUCCAUUCCUCUGUAUUACUGAUUUUCCACUGUUGGGAUGGAAAACUUACCCAUCAGUUGAUGGGUGUUUAGACUGUUUGUCUCCUGGGAAUACUGCAGCUGUGAGCACGUAUGCUCUGAGGACACACUGUGGUUUCAACAUUCUUUUGGAUAUUUACUAUGAUAGUAAAUACGCUAAAGUCAUGAAGAUUUGCCUUCCUCUUUUGAUUUUGGGGUUUUAUCAUCUUACCUCUUACAUUUAGGUUGUUGAAAGAAAAGGUCUAGUGUCUUCUUUUACAUGUGGACACUUUCUUAUUCCAACAUCAUUUGUUACAAGGAAUUAUUUUCAUCCAUUGAAUUCUUUUGUCAUUUUUUUUAAACCAAAUACCAACUAUGUAAACAUGUGAAGGUUCUAUUUCUGAACCUUCUGUUCAUUUUAUCUGUCUGUCUGUCUGUCUGUCUAUCUGUCUAUCUCCCUACCUACCUAUCUAUCUUUCUGUUGUUUUAGUUUGGUUUUCAAGAACAAGGUUUCUCUGUGUAGCCCCACCAGGCUGGCCUUGAACUCAGAGAGCUUGCUUCUGUUGGGAUUAGAGGUAUUCACCACCGCCACCUAGCUCAUUAUCUAUAUUUUUAUUCUAUUGCUAGUGUAAGUCUGUUUUGAUAGUUGUGGCUUUGUAGUGCAUUUUAAAUUGGACAAUAUAGAUGUUUUUGUCUGCCAUUCUUGUAAGAUAAUUCUGGUUAUUGUCUGCCUCUGAAUCUUUGAAAAUUUAGGAGUAGUUUGUUGCUUUCUUCAAAAAGCCACUUGGAGUUGUUGUUUAGAACUUUGCUGAAUGGCUAUACCAGUUUUGGAACUGUUGUCACCUAAAGUUUAAAUUCUGAUCUAUGAGAACAAUAGAUCAGGCUAGUUUAAAUUUUUAGUAUCUCUUAGGAGCAUUUUGUAGUUUCCACUGUCUAAGUUUGGCGCUUGUUAAUCUUAUUUCUUUGCCUUCGUUUCU